ACCAUGUAAAACCACAGGCAUGAAUCACCCAUUGGAAAACUACAUAGAGACAACUCCACUGCACAAAAUAUGCGAGCCGGAACCAAGGGAAUGGAAGGCUGUUUAGAGCAGUAUCGAGCAAAAGAAAAGCAGCAUUCAGAGUGUGCAUGCAACCCAUCAGCACAUUGAGUCCAAGAUGAGCAUUUGAUCCAAAUGGGACAAUAAUACACCAAAAUAUUACGUCUGUUAGGAUGACAGCACCUGCACAAGUCUGAAAAAUUGUUUGCAUAAGAUAUCCCCAAAAUCCAGCUCUUAGCCUAAUUGCCUCUUCUGCAUAGUGACUUUGCAACUUUAUAGUUCCCUUAAUUUCUUUCUUCCUAAGAGUUGUAGAGUUUGUAGUUUCAUUAUCUUCCACGUCCGUUCUCAAGAAUCCAGCAGUUUCCUCAUUUUCAGAAGGAAGUUGCUUUGAUACCAACCAACACCCAUACCCAGAUAUUACAGUGGCAAGCUACAUAGAGAAACCAAUACAUGUAAACUACCAACACACUCAUCUAGAUGGGGAUUGAAUCAAUACAAUGCAUUUCACAUA
rnacentral:misc_RNA from 1 species